GAAAAGGUAAUGAAGGGGAAAAGUAGGCGUAACACAGCUUUAUAGGGAGGAAGCGUCAUGGACUGCAAGCGCUUCUAAAGUAUGAUGCGUUGAAGUUCUCCCCCGAACUGCCGGGCUGAAACAAUGGUAAGUAGGCCCGGACGGAAACUUCCACCGUUAAAAGGAAGGGGGUAUAAGGAAGAUUUCCUGUACUCUGCUAAUAAGUGGGUCUUUUUAGACCAACAAGGGUGGUACCGCGAACUACUUUUCGUCCCUUAA
rnacentral:ncRNA from 1 species